AAUAGGUUUGGAAUACAUUUUUUAUUUAGUUUGAAAUUAAAUAAUGAGUACAAUGUAGACCUCAUUCAUUCCUAGAUAUCUGGGGCAGCAUUCUGUCACCAAGCACAGUGAUAUUUUUGGCACAAGUUAAUGUGCCGAAGCAGGAUUAAUAAAGAUUACAGAAAUGUACAAUAAGCAGGAUGAAUACAGAUUAUAAGAAGCAGGGAGGGUUAAAUUGUCCCAUUAACUAGCUUUACCUGGAAAUUUCAGACUUCAGAGCCGAGGCCAGGACACUGGUCCAUGUCAGUUUAACUGCUGCUGUUAAGGUCGCCUGUGCCUUGCUGGCCUCCAUCUGGCUGGCCCCUGUCAUUCCAAUGAAGCCUCGCAAGGUCCUGGUGUCAUUUCAUGGAUGAGGACAUCCUCCGGCAAGAGGCUCAAGAAAAGCAUGGCCAACACCUGCUCUCUGCUGUCUCACCUCUGCAGAAAGAAGAUAGGAAAUGGGGCUCUUGAUGCCAUAAGUAAUUUGCACUGUUCUGGCAAAUGAGGACAGUAACCGUACCCAGCUCUUGUGGUUGUCUGAGGAUAACGUGAAUGAAUGCACAGUAGCACCUAGGAUGACAGGUGUGCCUCGAUUGUCUUGAAGAAAAGGAGGUACGAUUAUGGAAUACAUCGUGGACAUGUUCCAAGUCACAUAUUUAAGUUAAUUACAUUUCUGCCCUACACAAAGACUUCGUAAUUGAGGGGAAGAGUAGUGGAUGCAGAGGCCAUGGAUAGAGCCUUCCAAGAUGCUCUUCCUUUCCCAAAGAAUACCCUAAAUGAAUUUUACUUAAUCAGUUGCUGGUUAAACAAACUCAGGUACUCUUAAUAAGAUAUUCUGAAGAUGUCUGGAGAUGUUUGACAGCUCUGAACUGGUGAGUUACUUGCUCUACACCUGCAUACUUCUGCUCCCAAGGGGCGAGUCGGUGCUUCCUGUAAAGCACUUGUGUUUGUGUCAGUUAAACUUGUUGUUGUAUCUAUACACUUAAUUAAUCACUAUGCAAAUGAUGAAAUGUGAGCACAAGGACAAGGAGAGUUGUUUCCAUGAAUCAAAUGUAAAUCCUUGGGGAAGAUUUGAUAAAGUGAGUGGUUUUAAAAAAUAUGGUUAAAUCAGUAAAAGGAGGUAAUAAAGUAAAAAAAAAAUAAAUCCUGAAGUUUCUAUUUUGUUGCUUUCCAAGGGUCCUU
rnacentral:lncRNA from 1 species